rnacentral:rRNA from 1 species
UACGAAGGGGGCUAGCGUUGUUCGGAAUUACUGGGCGUAAAGCGCACGUAGGCGGAUUGACAAGUUGGGGGUGAAAUCCCGGGGCUCAACCUCGGAACUGCCUUCAAAACUGUCUGUCUAGAGGUCAGGAGAGGUUAGCGGAAUACCGAGUGUAGAGGUGAAAUUCGUAGAUAUUCGGUGGAACACCAGUGGCGAAGGCGGCUAACUGGACUGAUACUGACGCUGAGGUGCGAAAGUGUGGGGAGCACACAGG